CAGUCGCCGCGGGAAUACAGAGGGUGCAAGCGUUAAUCGGAAUUACUGGGCGUAAAGCGUGCGCAGGCGGUUAUAUAAGACAGAUGUGAAAUCCCCGGGCUCAACAUGGGAACUGCAUUUGUGACUGUAUAGCUAGAGUACGGCAGAGGGGGAUGGAAUUCCGCGUGUAGCAGUGAAAUGCGUAGAUAUGCGGAGGAACACCGAUGGCGAAGGCAAUCCCCUGGGCCUGUACUGACGCUCAUGCACGAAAGCGUGGGGAGCAAACAGGAUUAGAGACCCGCGUAGUCCCUGUCUCUUAUAC
rnacentral:rRNA from 1 species